rnacentral:rRNA from 1 species
UGGGGAAUAUUGCACAAUGGGCGCAAGCCUGAUGCAGCCAUGCCGCGUGUAUGAAGAAGGCCUUCGGGUUGUAAAGUACUUUCAGCGGGGAGGAAGGGAGUAAAGUUAAUACCUUUGCUCAUUGACGUUACCCGCAGAAGAAGCACCGGCUAACUCCGUGCCAGCAGCCGCGGUAAUACGGAGGGUGCAAGCGUUAAUCGGAAUUACUGGGCGUAAAGCGCACGCAGGCGGUUUGUUAAGUCAGAUGUGAAAUCCUCGGGCUCAACCUGGGAACUGCAUCUGAUACUGGCAAGCUUGAGUCUCGUAGAGGGGGGUAGAAUUCCAGGUGUAGCGAUGAAAUGCGUAGAGAUCUGGAGGAAUACCGGUGGCGAAGGCGGCCCCCUGGACAAAGACUGACGCUCAGGUGCGAAAGCGUGGGGAGCAAACAGG